rnacentral:rRNA from 1 species
UACAGAUGUGGCAAGCGUUGUUCGGAAUUACUGGGCGUAAAGGGCUCGUAGGUGGCCAACUAAGUCAGACGUGAAAUCCCCAGGCUCAACUUGGGAACUGCGUCUGAUACUGGAUGGCUUGAAUUCGGGAGAGGGAUGCAGAAUUCCAGGUGUAGCGGUGAAAUGCGUAGAUAUCUGGAGGAAUACCGGUGGCGAAGGCGGCAUCCUGGACCGAGAUUGACACUGAUGAGCGAAAGCCAGGGGAGCAAACGGG